CAGGAGGGACAGUCUUCCAGUACAGGUGCUGUGUCAACACAGGCAGGAGGGACAGUCUUCCAGUACUGGUGCUGUGUCAACACAGGCAGGAGGGACAGUCUUCCAGUACAGGUGCUGUGUCAACACAGGCAGGAGGGACAGUCUUCCAGUACUGGUGCUAGGUCAACACAGGCAGGAGGGACAGUCUUCCAGUACUGGUGCUAGGUCAACACAGGCAGGAGGGACAGUCUUCCAGUACUGGUGCUAGGUCAACACAGGCAGGAGGGACAGUCUUCCAGUACUGGUGCUAGGUCAACACAGGCAGGAGGGACAGUCUUCCAGUACUGGUGCUAGGUCAACACAGGCAGGAGGGACAGUCUUCCAGUACUGGUGCUAGGUCAACACAGGCAGGAGGGACAGUCUUCCAGUACAGGUGCUGUGUCAACACAGGCAGGAGGGACAGUCUUCCAGUACAGGUGCUGUGUCAACACAGGCAGGAGGGACAGUCUUCCAGUUCAGGUGCUGUGUCAACACAGGCAGGAGGGACAGUCUUCCAGUACUGGUGCUGUGUCAACAC
rnacentral:lncRNA from 1 species